rnacentral:rRNA from 1 species
CAACAGUUGGAAACGACUGCUAAUACCGCAUAAGCGCACAGCUUCGCAUGAAGCAGUGUGAAAAACUCCGGUGGUACAAGAUGGACCCGCGUCUGAUUAGCUGGUUGGUGAGGUAACGGCCCACCAAGGCGACGAUCAGUAGCCGGCCUGAGAGGGUGAACGGCCACAUUGGGACUGAGACACGGCCCAAACUCCUACGGGAGGCAGCAGUGGGGAAUAUUGCACAAUGGGGGAAACCCUGAUGCAGCAACGCCGCGUGAGUGAAGAAGUAUUUCGGUAUGUAAAGCUCUAUCAGCAGGAAAGAAAAUGACGGUACCUGACUAAGAAGCCCCGGCUAACUACGUGCCAGCAGCCGCGGUAAUACGUAGGGGGCAAGCGUUAUCCGGAUUUACUGGGUGUAAAGGGAGCGUAGACGGUUUUGCAAGUCUGAAGUGAAAGCCCGGGGCUUAACCCCGGGACUGCUUUGGAAACUGUAGGACUAGAGUGCAGGAGAGGUAAGUGGAAUUCCUAGUGUAGCGGUGAAAUGCGUAGAUAUUAGGAGGAACACCAGUGGCGAAGGCGGCUUACUGGACUGUAACUGACGUUGAGGCUCGAAAGCGUGGGGAGCAAACAGGAUUAGAUACCCUGGUAGUCCACGCCGU